UGUCUAAACGGGAUUAAAGACUGAGCCUC
rnacentral:piRNA from 1 species